rnacentral:rRNA from 1 species
AAAAACAUGGCUCCUUGUAUUCCAAAAAUAGGGAGUCGGACCUGCCCAGUGAAAUUUUUUAACGGCCGCGGUACUCUGACCGUGCAAAGGUAGCAUAAUCAUUUGCCUUAUAAUUGAAGGCUUGUAUGAAUGGUUUGACAAGAAUGAAGCUGUCUCUUUAUAAUUAAUUUGAAUUUUAUUUAUAGGUGAAGAAGCCUAUAUCACAUUGAAAGACAAGAAGACCCUAUCGAGCUUUAAAAAAGUUAAUAAACUUAAAAAUUAGUAUUUAUAAUACAAAUUUUAUUAUUAAAUCAUUUUAGUUGGGGCGACUGAGGAACAAACAAAGCUUCCUAUAUCAAUAUUAAUACAUUCAAGUACUGAUCCAAAAAUUUUGAUUAAAGAAAUUAGUUACCGUAGGGAUAACAGCAUUAUCUUUUUUGAGAGUUCUAAUCGAAAAAAAGGUUUGUGACCUCGAUGUUGGACCAGAAUAUCCUAAAGAUGCAGCCGUCUUUAAGGGU